GACGUAGGGGGCAAGCGUUGUUCGGAAUUAUUGGGCGUAAAGCGCUCGUAGGCGGGCUUGGAAGUCCGUGUUGAAAGACCUCGGCUCAACUGAGGGACCGGCUCGGAUACUCUAAUUCUUGAGGCAAUCAGAGGAUGAUGGAAUUCCCGGUGUAGCGGUGAAAUGCGUAGAUAUCGGAAGGAACACCAGUGGCGAAAGCGGCUUCCUGGUCCAGCACCGACGUUCAGGCACGAAAGCGUGGGGAGCAAACAGG
rnacentral:rRNA from 1 species